rnacentral:tRNA from 16 species
GCCGGGAUAGCUCAGUUGGUAGAGCAGAGGACUGAAA